UACGAAGGGUGCAAGCGUUACUCGGAAUUACUGGGCGUAAAGCGUGCGUAGGUGGUUUGUUAAGUCUGAUGUGAAAGCCCUGGGCUCAACCUGGGAAUUGCAUUGGAUACUGGCGGGCUAGAGUACGGUAGAGGGUGGCGGAAUUCCUGGUGUAGCAGUGAAAUGCGUAGAUAUCAGGAGGAACAUCCGUGGCGAAGGCGGCCACCUGGACCAGUACUGACACUGAGGCACGAAAGCGUGGGGAGCAAACAGG
rnacentral:rRNA from 1 species